rnacentral:rRNA from 1 species
UACAGAGGGUGCAAGCGUUGUUCGGAAUCAUUGGGCGUAAAGGGCGUGUAGGCGGUUUGUUAAGUCAUGUGUGAAAUCCCUCGGCUCAACCGGGGAACGACGCUUGAAACUGGCAAGCUAGAGUACCAAAGAGGGCGGUGGAAUUCCCGGUGUAGCGGGUGAAAUGCGUAGAGAUCAGGAGGAACACCAAUGGCGAAGGCAGCUCUCUGGCUUCACCCUGGACGCUGAGGCGCGAAAGCGUGGGGAGCGAACGG